rnacentral:rRNA from 1 species
AUUGAACGCUGCCGGCAGGCCUAACACAUGCAAGUCGAGCGAGCGGCGGCCGGGUGAGCAAUGUCUGGGAAACUGCACGAUGGAGGGGGAUAAAUACUGGAAACGGUAGCUAAUACCGCAUACCAUCAGAUGUGCCCAGAGGGGAUUAGCUAGUAGGUGGGGUAACGGCUCACCUAGGCGACGAUCCCUAGCUGGCCCGAGAGGAUGACCAGCCACAAUGGAACUGAGACACGGUCCAGACUCCAACGGGAGGCAGCAGUGGGAAAUAGUGCAAAAUGGGCGCAAGCCUGAUGCAGCCAUGCCGGGGGUAUGAAGAAGGCCUGCGGGUUGUAAAGUACUUUCAGCGGGGAGGCGUUACCCGCAGAAGAAGCACCGGCUAACUCCGUGCCAGCAGCCGCUGUAAUAC